rnacentral:tRNA from 1 species
UGGGUGCUUAGCUCAGUUGGUAGAGCGCCGCCUUUACACGGCGAGGGUCGUGGGUUCGAGUCCCUCAGUACCCAA